rnacentral:lncRNA from 1 species
AGAAUCAGUAUAAUCUAGCACGAGCCCAGCAAUCCUAUAAUUCCAUUGUACAGAUACAUGAGAAAAAUGGCUGGUACACACCUCCAAAGGAAGAUGGCUAACUACAUUGACAUAUGUCUGGACCAAUGUUGCUUUAAAGAAAAUCGUUCCAACGUACAGACAUAAGCUUUUGAGUGCCCGUAUAACAGCAGUACCGAAGACAUUAGCUAAUAGAUCAUUUAGUGGAUAAUCUGUCAACUGACAUCCAGUUACAGUCUUUUCAUUUUGCUCACUUUAGGUAUCUUGGACUGAGCAGUGGGGCCUUUACUGAAUUUUUCCUGAUAAGUACACACAGUAGCCACUCCCUACCACCUCUUUCUUGAAAAGUGAAAUCUUUUAAGCAGGGAAGCUCAGCAUCAGUUUACUGCAGCUGUGAUUUUACAGUAACCUUUCUAUAUUGAGCCUAUGGGGUAUGAAGAUAUGCAAAAUCCUGUUCGUUUAGAGCCAAUAAAAGUUUAACUGAUGGUCAAUACUGGUUUAGAAAUUUUAGGUCUUCUAAACCAUAGCUUUUUCAGGUCUGAAAUCAUUUUAUUGCCAAAAUUAUGACAGGAAGCCUCUUCAUUAACUUGUUACAUUUUUCCAUGGUUGUGUGAAGGUUUGAACUAGUCUGAAAGUCUGAUUGUAAUUGUGUCAUGUUAGGUACAGCAAAGCCAGGCAGCCACUUGUGACCGUAAUUCCCACUGGGGCAGCAGGGUCUUGUUGAACUGAACCUGCUUCCUGUUGGUUCAACAUUUCUUGUGAGGAAGAGCCACAGUGUAGAACCUGAAGUUCUAAAGUAUGAGGUCAUUUACCUUUCCAUUUAUUAGCGGGGUGUUGCAAUUGAUGAUAAGCUAAUAAACGUAUGGAAUGAUUGGCACAAAGACAGACUCUUGGAGCAAAAUUACCUAAAUUGGAGAUCCUUAAAUUUUCCUAUAGUCAUGCAGUGACUUUUACAUCAGAAGACUAGUAGGAAUUCAGCCCAUGUUAAUUCUUUUAUAAAGUGUGACAUGAAUCAACGUACUUUGCAUUUUACUGCCUUACCUGAAUCAGUCCUCUUUGGUUGGCAAUAGAUUUCUUUUUUCUAAUAAUCCCAUGUUUGAUUUAAAUCUAGCUAUUUAAGCACUUUUAAAAAGAAACCCAGAAGCACAUUUUCCUGCACAAACCAAUACAGAGUUCAAUGGUAUUUCCUAUAUAUUUGAUUUGGGAUUUUUUUUUUAAACUUUGUAAACCACAACUAGGAGACGUGGCACUUGUGCAUUUUAUGUGUGGUUUUAGUUUCUCUUGAUUCUGUUGGUUAAGAGGGCAAUAAAGAUAUCUGGUAUUCUCGGUCACUUGGUUACCUUAAAUAAAUGAUUACCAGUGACUCGGAUGACAAGUGACAAGGCAGAAUUCUUCAACACGUUAUGAAGCUCCUUAUGCCUAAGGCAAAAUCUUGAAUAUAUUAUUGAAUUCUAAUUUCCUACUAGCUAGCAGACUGACAGCUGCACAUUCGGCAUGCUUUGGGUUGGUUUUUUUUUUUUUUUUGGAUUUUAUUUUUCAUUGCAGAUUUAUUUGGCAAUGUACAGUAAAUUUUGUAAACUUGCAUCAAGUUUAUGAAUAAAGAACCAUUUAAAAAUC